rnacentral:rRNA from 1 species
ACUCGAGUGGCGAACGGGUGAGUAACACGUGGGUGAUCUGCCCUGCACUUCGGGAUAAGCCUGGGAAACUGGGUCUAAUACCGGAUAGGAGCCAUUUUUAGUGUGAUGGUUGGAAAGUUUUUCGGUGCAGGAUGAGCUCGCGGCCUAUCAGCUUGUUGGUGGGGUAAUGGCCUACCAAGGCGGCGACGGGUAGCCGGCCUGAGAGGGUGGACGGCCACAUUGGGACUGAGAUACGACCCAG